UGAAAAACUGACAAAAUUUGUGACAUUUAACAAAGCUGUCUACCCUGUUCUUACAAGAAAUGACAGACAUUGUUAAGCAGUGGGCUGCACACUGUGUGUUUCAUUUUUAUCAAGCCCUGCAGUAGGAAAUCCGUACCCCUCUGACAGGUGGCCAGCCAUUCUUGGAGCGCUCGUUUUAGACUUCAGCCUCGGCUGGAAAUUGAUCUCACAACCACAGCUAGAGCCAGUUGUUUCAGACUCUUUAAGCCACCUCCUGCUUGUUUAAAUCAUAUAUGCUUCCACUAAAAUAAAGUUAUACCUCUAGAAUUAUCCAUUUAGAAAAUGUAUUCAGCGUAAUAACAAUUUACCUGUUACAUAAGGCAAGGGCAUUUCUUUUAAAACAAAAAUGAAAGACACUUGUCUUAGGUAUGUACUGUACAUACUGAUUGCUGCACACUGCUGAUGAAUGUAUUCGGAGCUUCUCAAAGGUGGAGUGCUGUUGAGUGAUUGCCCCUGUGCUAAGGUUGCUGAUGCAACUCUCUGCCCUUCAAGGAAGAAUCAAAUUAUGUGUCAUCCUCUUGCAGUCGCUGAAAGCAGCGUACACGUGAUAAGGGGGCGAUGACAGUGUUUUUAUUUACCUUAGAUAGCGUUUCAGGAUGUGCAAUGCUAAUCAGAAACUUUACAAAUGAAAAUUUGGAAAAAUAAAAUGUCAGCAAUGUAAUGAAAAUUGAUUUUGAGGAUUAGCAAGUAAGAAAAAAAACAAACCAAAAAAACAAUUGUCUACAAGAAAUGCUAGAUACAGAGGCUAUUGUGACAAUUUCAUAAAAAAGGAUCUGAGAAAGCUAUUUUUCAAUUGGCAGUCAUGGUUAAACAAUGGGAUAAGUCUUCUGCUCAUUCCAACUCCUCCCAGUACCUUCCUUUGCAGGCACCAUUCUCCCCUCUUGUGACUGUGACCUGCACUAACCACAUUACCCAAUUGGCUCAGUCUGGAUUUAAAGAUUUAAUUUCUUAAUUUGUAUAAUUGUAAUGCCCGCAAAAGGUGCUGGAUUGCCAACAUAGGUUACUGAAAUCCUUGCUUUUUAUCCACAGAGCAGGUCUAGUGCAAACACCAGCAACGUCAGCAUCCUGCAUUGCCUGACCAGCAACCUGCAAUCACCCUCUUCAGUAAUACCAUGUGAGGGAACAGGAUCAUGACUGCUUGUAUGGGUAUGGUGAGAGGUGAUUAUAGACUAUUUGGAUGCUAGUCCCGCCUGUUAAGGGGAGAAGGAGAAGCCACCACCUUCUGAAAAGAGGAAAUUAUCUGACGAAGCCACAUCCUUCCCCCCCAACAAGGGCAUUGCCUGCAUUAAGGUGGAAGUUAUGGAGGUGAAGGGUAGGGUUACAACUGGAUUGCAACGGCAACGCCCUGUGGCAGCCUUUUGUAUCUGCUAGUAAAACAGAAAGUGAUGAAACGCCAGGGACUGGCUUCGUACACAGACAAUACCUUUCCGUAAGAGUGAAUGGGAGAUCUGUCUACCCUCAAGGUCACCUGAGGUUGCAUCGUACACACAGUGAGGCUGGAGAAGAGGAUGAGACAUGAGCCACAAGCACCCCGUUCACAGGGCCGGAACCAUAAUUCCAAUCUCCAUUUUGUAUGACACACAGUGAACUGUGAUACCAGGUCUAUGUUUAGUCUUUCUCAAUUCAAUUAGACAGACACAGGAGAAGAGCAAUUGUUUUACAGUGUAAAACCCUCUGUAAAAACCUUCACCAUAAACCGUUUCUCCAAUUCCUCAACCAAGAUAGUUCCAACCAGUACAGGGGGUGCACCAGACUUUCUGACCAUCCUGGCAGAAUUGGACUUGAUAAAAGAAAGAUGCAGCUUAUUUAUUUCAUGGGCACUUGUACUGAACUGAGCAUUGGCAACUUUUGAAUACAUAGUACAUACCAGAUGUCAUCUCAGCCCAUUCACACAGAUGUACAGGCAGCAGACGUUUCUCAUUUUUGUCUACUGUUAAUUGCUGAGAAAUAAAAAAGGGGUGCUGGUAAAGUGUUGUUUGAUCAUUGCAAACCUUAAUGCGUUGAUUACUUUAAUAGCUGGGAGCCCCGUUAACUUUGUUAAUACAUCCUCAAUAGAGCCCUCAGGAUCCAAUCAGAGCGUUUACUAGCACAGCCAAAUCAAGGUUAAUUGUGUAGACUUUGCAGGUCUAAUUAAAUGAGGAGAAAAACAGGCGCUCUUGAUCAGCUGGCACUUGAGAUAAUGCCUGCAACCUGCUGCUUUUUCCUUUGUCAUCGCUGCACAAACUUGGCAGGCACAGCGGUUUUCAAGUGCUUUGAAAUUCUGGUGAGACGCUCAUUUGAAUAACUGAUAAAAGUCCCUACAG